rnacentral:tRNA from 1 species
ACUUAGGUAGUUUAAAUAAAAACUUUGGUUUGUGGUAUCAAUGAUGCAUAAUUCAUGCCUUAAGUC